rnacentral:misc_RNA from 1 species
AUGGACAAUCUUCGUAUCGAUUUUUUGAGAAAUGAUGAUUGAUGCACGUGCUCGUUGUGUGUUUGCUCAGAUCACGUAAUGGACCUACCGGGAAUAGCGAAUGCUUUCGAUAUUUUGUUCGAUCCCGAUGAAGAGAACCAGUAAAAAUGUCGUACAUCGAUACUUCCCUGGUGGAGCCACUAAAAAAAUUGGAAAUAAAUCUACCAACUGGCAACAAUAAUGGGUACACUUUGAUCAAGCUGUGCAGAACGGCUUACCCGCCUACGAUCCUGCGAGACCGGCAUUUCUCAACACUUGUUGCAAGGUACAAGACGGACGAAGAGUUCAAAAACGAAGCAACUUUUGUGGAGAAGGUGUUAAACGACAAGAUCGAGCAAGAAGCGUGA